rnacentral:rRNA from 1 species
AUUGAACGCUGGCGGCAGGCCUAACACAUGCAAGUCGAGCGGAGCGGCGGACGGGUGAGUAAUGUCUGGGAAACUCCCUGGUAGUGGGGGAUAACGUCCGGAAACGGGCGCUAAUACCGCAUACUAUCAGAUUAGCCUAGGUCGGAUUAGCUAGUUGGUGGGGUAAAGGCCUACCAAGGCGACGAACCGUAACUGGUCUGAGAGGAUGAUCAGUCACACUGGAACUGAGACACGGUCCAGACUCCUACGGGAGGCAGCAGUGGGGAAUAUUGGACAAUGGGCGAAAGCCUGAUCCAGCCAUGCCGCGUGUGUGAAGAAGGUCUUCGGAUUGUAAAGCACUUUAAGUUGGGAGGCGUUACCAACAGAAUAAGCACCGGCUAACUUCGUGCCAGCCGCCGCGGUAAUUC